AACGGACCCCUAUCCAGGGCCGGGCGUCAACCGACCGUUCCGGGCCAGUCGGCGCAUUUCCUCCCGCUAUUAGGACGCUGCGACCGGUUGGGACACUGACCAGGAGUCGGCCAUGAGUGCGGGCUUCGGAAGGUGGCCGGCCGUAGGCUCUGCCUGCGGUCGGUGUUAUAGCCAGCCCGUAACGGGCGCGUUCUCCCAACCGAGGACUCGAUGGCCCUGCGGGGCCUGUCCGCAUCCUCCCCCGCGCGGGGAGUGGGUCGCCCGGCAGGUUGUUUGUCGUCGGACCGUCUUCACCUCAGCGUGUGCGGGCCGCGGCAUCUUCUGCUGGAUUCGGAGCGACUUCCGCUUUCAUGGAUGCAGGACGUCGGCAGCGAGUAGGUCGGUCACCCACCCGACCCGUCUUGAAACACGGACCAAGGAGUCUAACAUGUGCGCGAGUCAUUGGGACUUGUUUAUGCCCAUAGGCGAAAUGAAAGUGAAGGCCGGCUGCACGUCGGCCGCGUUGGGAUCCCUCGGACUCUGUGCCGGGGGCGCACCAACGGCCCGUCCCGAUCGCAACGUCGACGGGGCGGAGCGAGAGCGCACACGUUGGGACCCGAAAGAUGGUGAACUAUGCCUGGGCAGGACGA
rnacentral:rRNA from 1 species